rnacentral:rRNA from 1 species
AUGAUGGAUGUUAAUAUUGACACCCGAGCCUACUCUCCAUAUCAGGCCCUCCUUUGCAAAUCCCGGCCAUGCAAAAUGCUCCUGAAGGUGAAAGAACCCGAAGCUGGACAGGAAGCGGACAAGAUUGAGUCAUCUUUAAAAUACCUCGCUUUAAGCACCCUAGCACAUAGAGAAGUUGGGACUUCAAGGAUACGCCAUGCUUGUUUCGCCAACAACGCUUGGUUGAAAGCCUCGGGGUCACGAAACCCCAUGCCCCCAUCCCUCUUGCUCGCACACAUCUUCUGCCAAGCGAUCCAAUGGACCCUUCUCUCACCAUUCAUUGCACCCCACCAGAAUUUGGACGAGAUUGAAGUCAGGUUCCGGCACAUUUUCUUCGAGAGGUGA